rnacentral:rRNA from 1 species
GCUCAGAAUGAACGCUGGCGGCGUGCCUAACACAUGCAAGUCGGAUGUGCCCGCAAGGGUGCAUGGCAGACGGGUGAGUAACGCGUGGGGAACCUACCUCUUUGUGGGGAAUAACGUUCCGAAAGGAAUGGUAAUACCGCAUGAGACCGUUGGCUGGGAUGCUGACGGUGAAACCCGGGGACCGCAAGGCCUGGGGCAAGGAGAGGGUCCUGCGUCUGAUUAGCUAGUUGGCGGGGUAACGGCCCACCAAGGCGUCGAUCAGUAGCCGGCCUGAGAGGGUGAUCGGCCACACUGGAACUGAGACACGGUCCAGACUCCUACGGGAGGCAGCAGUGGGGAAUUUUGCGCAAUGGGCGAAAGCCUGACGCAGCAACGCCGCGUGGGUGAUGAAGGUCUUCGGAUCGUAAAACCCUGUCGUCAGGGACGAAGGUUGCAUGUCUAAUAGAUGUGUAACUUGACGGUACCUGGAGAGGAAGCCCCGGCUAACUCUGUGCCAGCAGCCGCGGUAAUACAGAGGGGGCAAGCGUUAUUCGGAAUUAUUGGGCGUAAAGGGCGCGUAGGCGGUGUCUUAAGUGAGAUGUGUAAUCCCCGAGCUUAACUUGGGAACUGCAUCUCAGAUUGGGGCGCUAGAGUGCUGGAGAGGGUGGUAGAAUUCCACGUGUAGCGGUGAAAUGUGUAGAGAUGUGGAGGAAUACCAGUGGCGAAGGCGGCCACCUGGACAGUAACUGACGUUGAGGCGUGAAAGUGUGGGGAGCAAACAGGAUUAGAUACCCUGGUAGUCCACGCUGUAAACGAUGAACACUUGGUGUGGUGGGAGUUGACCCCCGCC